CCUGAAGCCUGAACUCGGCAGGCCCCAGCAAGCCAGGAAGGAGGCUGUCAGAGCUCCCUGCAGCAGACCAGACCAUCCAGCACAGCUUUUGCAAGGAACAAACUUCUAAUUAAGAAAACAUAAAAGAUUGCUAGAUAGAAUACAUCAACCCUUCAAUGAAAAGGAGGAUACUGGACGGAGCCAAUCAGAAGACACUGAUAGCAGAAAAGGAGACCACUUUUCCUUAGACACAACAAAAGAAAUCUUAAGCCAGAGCAGACAUUGUGCCACUGGAAUGAACCCUCUGUCACAGGCACCAAGAUACAAUUAUUCCUGAUGCGUUUAUGAUAUCUGUUACCACCCUGAUCCAUUUUAGGAAGGGCGGUAUAGAAACUGAAUGAAUGAAUAUCAUGCAACAUUGCUAACUUCAAGGAGUAGCAUUCACAGCAGCACUCAUGAAAGGGCUUUUUGCUCUGCAAAGUUGUACUACAACUAGUGGAAGAACAACCACUUGAAUACAUAUUGUUCAAAGAGUUUUCCAUUUGUGUAUAUGUAAACUUGUGCAAGUGUGUAAGAGUCUGUGCAACAACUGCAUUGUAUUGUGCUAGCAUAAGGACUAGUUUGGAACAGAGAUGGAUUUCUUUGUACAACAGCUGUUAUAUGUCAGAUUUGUAUUAUGUCACUUUUUUGUUUCCUCCCUUUAUAGCUGUGCUCAUGCUUACAGUGACUCAUCGGCAUUGAUACUAGCGCAAGACAAUGAAUGCUACCCAAAGUGUGAAAAUUAUGGAAAGAAUUGCCAAUGGGACUCAUCACUAAGCUCCAAAAUUCUGCUCUAGGUGAAGGAGAAGAGCCCUAUCUCUUCUAUCCAGAGAAGAUUCAAGAGGAGGCCCAAGGAGUUGUUGGGGUUUUUUUUGCUGCUUUAGAUAAAUUAGAAUGUUGCUGACUCACUGUCUUAUUGAAGGCUGAACAAUAUAGGGCUAAUUCAAAUGAAACCAGCCCCAGCACACAGAAAGAAGGAGGUGUACACCACAAGAGUGCUGGUCAGGACAUCCUCCCACUGUGUCACUUGAUUGAGUGUGUGGACUGUUCUAAAUGGUCCCUAAACAUAUGCACUAAAUACUUGUUGAAAUAUGUGUUUGAACUGGCCCAUAAUAGCACAAUAAAUAAACUAGCGCUGACUGGAA